ensembl:lncRNA
GAAAAAUUACGAUGUAAGUGACAUGAUAUUCUCUGGAGGAGUCUGCAUGAAUAAGUCUACACUUUGCAAAGUUUGGGAGUUUAGAUGUGCCCUUUAAGUGUGAAAUCUGGCAAAUUCAUUCUUCUAAUUCUUCAAAAUAAAGUGCUAAGUAGAUGCUAAUGUUGAGGAGCAUGAGUCGGGGUCCCUUGGGGUGGGGGAUCUGCCCUGACACCCACUCUCACUAUUCUCAUAGUUAGGUAGAAAAUGAAAAGAGUCUGCUUUGUGUCUACUCCCCGGUUUUCUCUUAUUCUUUUCUCCCUUUUAACAUAUUAUUUAGAAAUACAGAAUUCUUUCCUCAUGUACAUUACCCAAGAGUUUCCUCUACCUACCCCUCUGUCAAAUAACUGAGCUUUUAAAGAAUAAAGAGAUGUCAGGUGAGGGGCUAAUAUUUUCUUCAGACUUGAUGAUUCAUGCAGGCCUUUUACAUGAAGGAGCUUAUUUUGUUUCCGGGAAAACAGGGGUGAGAGACAUUGAUGCCUCACCCAAACCUUCUGAUCACAACCUAGGCCCUCUGACCCAAAUCUUGGCCUGUUUUCAUUUGAUAAUUUUCUCUUUUUUCCCAAAAGGCAUUCCUUUAGCGAGAUGAAGAAGUUUCCAGAAACCUGGGAGAAAAGAAAAUACUCAGAGGAGUCCAAAACCAGAGGGAUCCAAUUUCCUGAUUUUAAGUCGGCAAUUGCAUGGAUCAUCACAUUUUCUUGUGAGAAAAAUGUGAAGGUAACUGAACUGGGAAGGCAAGCUUUGGCCGCCAUAUUGGUAAGAAAUUCACAUUACAAUGUUCCACGGUCUGUCUUUAUUAAAACUGCCAUGUAUCCCGAGUACCCGGGAGGGCUAUGGUUGGGUUUACUUAAAAUCUGACAAGAAAAGAUGAAGGCACACCAGUGCUGCAUGUUGAAACCACUGUUUCUCAAAGGGUUGUGUGAGAAGUAGCUGGGACUGGGCUGGGAAAAGCCUCAGCUCGGCUUUGGCUUGGUCUUACUCAUCAACACCACCUUCCCCUGCAACUGUGUCAACACGUGGGCAGGACCUUCUCUGUUAGUCAGUGCCUUUGAUGUCUGGGAGCUCUGCUUCUCUCUCUAUCCCCGAGGGUCUCUUAUCAGCCCCCUGCUAGGCAUCCUUUUUCCUCAGGGUUCUGUUAGUAAUUGCUUCUCCCUGAGACUUCUCAUUUAGCCUAACAGGUGGUCUAAACCUACCGUAUUCACUGGUUGAAGAGAGAAAUCGAUGGAUGGUAGUGGGAAAAGAACAUGACCUUUAGAAUCAAGACCUUGAUUUGAGUCUCUGAUUCCAUCACUUAUGAGCUGAGUAGCAUUGGACAGGUACUUAGCCUCCCUAAGCCCCAGUUUCUUCAUCUUUCUUAAAUGAGAUGGUGGUUUCUCCUUCUCCAGGUCUCAUGGAGAUCACACCUGCAAUGCACACGGUGACUCAAACUGGGCCUGUUGUAGAUAUUAACCAGUACCCAGAACUCUCAGUGUGGUUCCUCUGUAUGUUGGCUAUCGCAGGGUGUAGAGUAGCUGAAUGGGAUCUUCACUUAUUUGGAAGUGGCCUGACUUACAUCACAGGGUGCCUGAGAAGCUCCCCUAGGGAGGAUAAUGAAGCAGAU